GAGAAAGACAUAACAAUUAUGGGAUUGGCUUGAAACCAGUUUUAGGGGGUUCGAAUCCUUCCUUUCUUA
rnacentral:tRNA from 1 species